UGUGUAGGCGGUUUGGUAAGUCUGGUGUGAAAUCUCCCGGCUCAACUGGGAGGGUGCGCCGGAAACUGCCGGACUCGAGUGCGGGAGAGGAGAGUGGAAUUCCUGGUGUAGCGGUGAAAUGCGUAGAUAUCAGGAGGAACACCGGUGGUGUAGACGGCUCUCUGGACCGUAACUGACGCUGAAACACGAAAGCGUGGGUAGCAAACAGGAUUAGAUACCCUGGUAGUCCACGCCCUAAACGAUGCAUAUUUGGUGUGGGUCAUUCAGUUGAUCCGUGCCGGAGCUAACGCGUUAAAUAUGCCGCCUGGGGAGUACAGUCGCAGGCUGAA
rnacentral:rRNA from 1 species